AAUUAAGAAACAUUAUAAUGUGUUCAACUUCGGAUUGAAAAAAAGAUUUAAAUUUAAAUCCUUAAUUU
rnacentral:tRNA from 1 species